rnacentral:misc_RNA from 1 species
GAUGAAGAACGUAGCAAAAUGCGAUAAGUAAUGCGAAUUGCAGAAUUCAGUGAAUCAUCGAAUCUUUGAACGCACAUUGCGCCCGCUGGUAUUCCGGCGGGCAUGCCUGUUCGAGCGUCAUUUCAACCCUCAAGCCCCCGGGUUUGGUGUUGGGGAUCGGCUCUGCCCUUCUGGGCGGUGCCGCCCCCGAAAUACAUUGGCGGUCUCGCUGCAGCCUCCAUUGCGUAGUAGCUAACACCUCGCAACUGGAACGCGGCGCGGCCAUGCCGUAAAACCCCAACUUCUGAAUGUUGACCUCGGAUCAGGUAGGAAUACCCGCUGAACUUAAGCAUAUCAAUAAGCGGAGGA